rnacentral:rRNA from 1 species
GCUCGACUUCGUCGGUUCCUCGGGCCGAGGCACGUACGGUGAAUAGGGACGGUCGGGGCCGCCCGUACCGGGUCGUGAGAGGUGAAAUUCUAGGAUCGACCCGAGACGAACCGCCGCGAAAGCAUUCGGCAAGGACGCUUUCAUUAAUCAAGAACGAAAGUCGGGGGAUCGAAGACGAUCAGAUACCGUCGUAGUCCCGACCGUAAACGAUGCCGACCGAGGGCCCGGAGGAGUUACGUACGACCCUCCGGGCCCUCCCGCGAGAAAUCAGGAGUAUUCGGGUUCCGGGGGGAGUAUGGUCGCAAGGCCGAAACUUAAAGGAAUUGACGGAAGGGCACCACCAGGAGUGGAAUCUGCGGCUUAAUUUGACCCAACGCGGGAAAACUCACCAGGUCAGGACACGGUAAGGAUUGACGGACUGAAGGCUCUUUCUCGAUUCCGUGGAAAGUGGUGCAUGGCCGUUUUUUGGUUGGUGGAUCGAUCCGUCUGGUUAAUUCCGUUAACGAACG